rnacentral:rRNA from 1 species
CGGAAGGAUCAUUAUUGAAUCAAUAUUGAUUGAAUUGUUGCUGGCUCUUAGAAGCAUGUGCACAUUCAAUUCAAUUUUUUGAACCCCCAUGUGCACUUUUUGUAGAUUUGAAAUCAUUCAAACAAUUUCUAUAUGAAAUUGUUUUGGUUUUUGAGAACUGCUUUACAUUUUGUGAGCUUUUCUUGUCUUUCAUAUCUACACUUUCUAAACAUCCUCCAAAUGUAAUAGAAUGAAAUGUAUUAGGCUAUGCCUUUAAAUUAUUAAUACAACUUUCAACAACGGAUCUCUUGGCUCUCGCAUCGAUGAAGAACGCAGCGAAAUGCGAUAAGUAAUGUGAAUUGCAGAAUUCAGUGAAUCAUCGAAUCUUUGAACGCACCUUGCACUUCUUGGUAUUCCGAGAAGUAUGCCUGUUUGAGUGUCAUGAAAUUUUCAUUCUUCAUGGUUUUUUCUUUAAACUUAUGAAGACUGGAUAAAUGAGAGUUGCUAAAUUGUUUUAAAUUUAGCUCUCUUUAAAAAUAUUAGUGGAGUCAUUACUGAUUAUCAAUGGUAUAAUAAAUAAUCUAUACUAUUGAAACCAGAUAACAUUGUCUUUGCUUAUAAUUGUCUUUCAAAGACACUUGACUUAUUUGACCUCAAAUCAGGUAGGAUUACCCGCUGAACUUAAGCAUAUCAUAAA